UAAAACUUGCUCUUUUAGUAUUUGUCCCGUAGGUUUUCUUUAAAGGGAAGCCAUG
ensembl:snRNA U7 U7 small nuclear RNA